rnacentral:rRNA from 1 species
CCUACGGGAGGCUGCAGUGGGGGAUAUUGCACAAUGGGGGGAACCCUGAUGCAGCGACGCCGCGUGGGUGAAGAAGCGCCUCGGCGCGUAAAGCCCUGUCAGCAGGGAAGAAAAUGACGGUACCUGAAGAAGAAGCCCCGGCUAACUACGUGCCAGCAGCCGCGGGAAUACGUAGGGGGCAAGCGUUAGCCGGAUUUACUGGGUGUAAAGGGGGCGCAGACGGCGAUGCAAGCCAGGAGGGAAAGCCCGGGGCCGAACCCCGGGACUGCUCUUGGAACUGCGUGGCUGGAGUGCAGGAGGGGCAGGCGGAAUUCCUGGUGUAGCGGUGAAAUGCGUAGAUAUCAGGAGGAACACCGGUGGCGAAGGAGGCCUGCUGGACUGCAACUGACGUUGAGGCCCGAAAGCGUGGGGAGCAAACAGGAUUAGAUACCCUGGUAGUC